UCAAAAACAUGUCUUCUAGAGUGUAAUUUGAAGUCUGACCUGCCCAAUGAUUAUUAUUUAAUGGCCGCAGUAUAUUAACUGUGCAAAGGUAGCAUAAUCAUUUGCUUUUUAAUUGAAGGCUGGAAUGAAAGGUUUGAUGAAAUAUAAGCUUUCUUAGUUUAAUUUUUUUAAUUUAAUUUUUAUGUAAAAAAGCGUAGAUGGAUUAAGAGGACGAGAAGACCCUAUAGAACUUGAAAUAUUUAUUUAUUUUAUUUUAUUGGCUAAAUGGGGGGUUAAAUAAAUAAGUUUUUUUUGUUGGGGUGAUGGUAGAAUUUUUUUAACUUUUAUUUUAUUAUUAGCAUAUAUUAGUGCUUGAUUAGAUCUAAUUAUAUUAAGUAUAAGAUUAAGUUACCUUAGGGAUAACAGCGUAAUUUCCUUGGAGAGUUCAUAUUAAUAGGGAAGAUUGCGACCUCGAUGUUGGAUUAAAAUUAAUAUGGGGUGCAGAAGCUUCAGUAUUUGGUCUGUUCGACCAUUAAAAUUUUACA
rnacentral:rRNA from 1 species